ensembl:lncRNA SEPTIN9-DT SEPTIN9 divergent transcript
GACCCCAUUCACCCACACAGACGCACAGGGACCCAAAGCACCCGGCCGACCUGGAAAGUCAGCGAUUCCUGCGAGGGUGCAAGGGGCGAGGAAGAGGGAGCGUCCCCCAGGGCAGCCCCUCCGACACUCGAGCAAGGGCUGGAGACAGCGCAGGGGACGGUCGGCUCAGGUCGAAAGCGGCCCGACAGCGGCCCUGUCCUGGGAGGAACUCGACCUGCAGUGUGCCCGCCGCGGGGACUCGCUCAGCUCCGGGGGCGCCUCGCCACUCCCGGCCGCAGGCACUCAGGGAGGAACUGUCCAACUGUAACUGACAGAGGAGGCAGAAGUGCCUGCCAAGAAUGGAGGGUCUGGUCUGGGGACCAGCUGAAGGCUCAUCGGGCUCAUACUGCUGGCACCAGGGCUGUCGACCAGGGCACCUACUUGGGGGCUUCCCCACGCAGACUCCCUUCCUUGCUAGCUUUGAUAGACUCAGCGGCUAUGUUGGGAAGUCCUGCACAGGAGGAGCCCAAGGCUUGUGUCAGAGAAGGGGCUGCAGCUGCUACUGUGUUCUCUGGGCUCCUUGCAUUCAGAGCCCGGAGCUACCAAGUGGGAGUCAGACCACCUGAGCCCUCAUGUCGUGAGGAUGCCCUAGGGACUGUAUUAGUCAUCUGUAACUGUGUAACAAAUGACCACAGAUUUCAUGGUUUAAAACCACA